UUCCGUAGGUGAACCUGCGGAAGGAUCAUUACAGAGUUCAUGCCCGAAAGGGUAGACCUCCCACCCUUGUGUAUUAUUACUUUGUUGCUUUGGCGAGCUGCCUUCGGGCCUUGUAUGCUCGCCAGAGAAUACCAAAACUCUUUUUAUUAAUGUCGUCUGAGUACUAUAUAAUAGUUAAAACUUUCAACAACGGAUCUCUUGGUUCUGGCAUCGAUGAAGAACGCAGCGAAAUGCGAUAAGUAAUGUGAAUUGCAGAAUUCAGUGAAUCAUCGAAUCUUUGAACGCACAUUGCGCCCCUUGGUAUUCCGGGGGGCAUGCCUGUUCGAGCGUCAUUUCAACCCUCAAGCUUAGCUUGGUAUUGAGUCUAUGUCAGUAAUGGCAGGCUCUAAAAUCAGUGGCGGCGCCGCUGGGUCCUGAACGUAGUAAUAUCUCUCGUUASAGGUUCUCGGUGUGCUUCUGCCAAAACCCAAAUUUUUCUAUGGUUGACCUCGGAUCAGGUAGGGAUACCCGCUGAACUUAAGCAUAUCAAUAAG
rnacentral:rRNA from 1 species